CAGUAGCCACGGUAAAACGUAGGUGGCGAGCGUUGUCCGGAAUUAUUGGGCGUAAAGGGAGCGCAGGCGGACAUAUAAGUCCAUCUUAAAAGUGCGGGGCUCAACCCCGUGAGGGGAUGGAAACUGUAUGCCUUGAGUGCAGGAGAGGAAAGCGGAAUUCCCAGUGUAGCGGUGAAAUGCGUAGAUAUUGGGAGGAACACCAGUGGCGAAGGCGGCUUUCUGGACUGCAACUGACGCUGAGGCUCGAAAGCCAGGGGAGCGAACGGGAUUAGAUACCCCAGUAGUCCCUGUCUCUUAUACA
rnacentral:rRNA from 1 species